GACGAACCGUGCGAACGUUGUUCGGAUUCACUGGGCUUAAAGCGCACGUAGGCGGCUUUGUAAGUUAGAGGUGAAAGCCCGGGGCUCAACUCCGGAAUUGCCUUUAAGACUGCAUCGCUAGAAUUGUGGAGAGGUAAGUGGAAUUCCGAGUGUAGAGGUGAAAUUCGUAGAUAUUCGGAAGAACACCAGUGGCGAAGGCGACUUACUGGACACAUAUUGACGCUGAGGUGCGAAAGCGUGGGGAGCGAACAGG
rnacentral:rRNA from 1 species